GGUGAAAUAGCUUAGUGGCAGAGCACAUGUUUAGCAUGCAUGAGGUCCUGGGUUCAAUCUCCAGUAUCUCCA
rnacentral:tRNA from 1 species